rnacentral:lncRNA from 1 species
AGACAAGGACAUGGCCCUUGCUCACGGUCCUGCUUUUUGUCUUCCCAGCACCUAUAUCAGCCUGAAUCAUGCAUCCAUUAAGGUAGGUGGAAUGCAGUGGUCAUCAGUGGGAAGUAUUUCAAGGACAGGUGGCAGAUAAAACCAGACACAAGCAAUCAGCAGCUGCAGUUACUUGCACACCUGCGCAUGAAUCUGCAUCUGCAGAAGG